GUCUAGGGCCAGGCCGCCCGGAACCAGUCCGAUCCCAUCUGAUCUCGGAAGCUAAGCAGGGUCGGGCCCGGUUAGUACUUGGAUGGGAGACCACCUAGGAAGACCAGGUGCUGUAGGCA
rnacentral:rRNA from 1 species